rnacentral:rRNA from 1 species
UACGAAGGAUCCAAGCGUUAUCCGGAUUUAUUGGGUUUAAAGGGUGCGUAGGCGGGUUAUUAAGUCAGUGGUGAAAUCUUGCAGCUUAACUGUAAAAUUGCCAUUGAUACUGAUGACCUUGAGUACAUUUGAAGUGGGCGGAAUAUGUCAUGUAGAGGUGAAAUUCUUAGAGAUGACAUAGAACACCGAUUGCGAAGGCAGCUCACUAAACUGUAACUGACGCUGAGGCACGAAAGCGUGGGGAUCAAACAGG